rnacentral:rRNA from 1 species
GUAAGCUACUAAGAGCGAAUGGUGGAUGCCUUGACUGGUAAAGGCGAUGAAGGACGUACUAGACUGCGAUAAGCUACGGGGAGCUGUCAAGAAGCUUUGAUCCGUAGAUUUCCGAAUGGGGCAACCCAAUGUAUAGAGAUAUACAUUACCUAUAUAGGAGCGAACGAGGGGAAUUGAAACAUCUUAGUACCCUCAGGAAAAGAAAUCAAUAGAGAUUGCGUCAGUAGCGGCGAGCGAAAGCGCAAGAGGGCAAACCCAGUGCUUGCACUGGGGGUUGUAGGACUGCAAUGUGCAAGAGCUGAGUUUAGCAGAACAUUCUGGAAAGUAUAGCCAUAGAGGGUGAUAGUCCCGUAUGCGAAAAACAAAGCUUAGCUAGCAGUAUCCUGAGUAGGGCGGGACACGAGGAAUCCUGUCUGAAUCCGGGUCGACCACGAUCCAACCCUAAAUACUAAUACCAGAUCGAUAGUGCACAAGUACCGUGAGGGAAAGGUGAAAAGAACUGAGGUGAUCAGAGUGAAAUAGAACCUGAAACCAUUUGCUUACAAUCAUUCAGAGCACUAUGUAGCAAUACAGUGUGAUGGACUGCCUUUUGCAUAAUGAGCCUGCGAGUUGUGGUGUCUGGCAAGGUUAAGCAAACGCGAAGCCGUAGCGAAAGCGAGUCUGAAUAGGGCGCUUAGUCAGAUGCUGCAGACCCGAAACGAAGUGAUCUAUCCAUGAGCAAGUUGAAGCUAGUGUAAGAACUAGUGGAGGACUGAACCCAUAGGCGUUGAAAAGCCCCGGGAUGACUUGUGGAUAGGGGUGAAAGGCCAAUCAAACUUCGUGAUAGCUGGUUCUCUCCGAAAUAUAUUUAGGUAUAGCGUUGUGUCGUAAUAUAAGGGGGUAGAGCACUGAAUGGGCUAGGGCAUACACCAAUGUACCAAACCCUAUCAAACUCCGAAUACCUUAUAUGUAAUCACAGCAGUCAGGCGGCGAGUGAUAAAAUCCGUCGUCAAGAGGGAAACAACCCAGACUACCAGCUAAGGUCCCUAAAUCUUACUUAAGUGGAAAACGAUGUGAAGUUACUUAAACAACCAGGAGGUUGGCUUAGAAGCAGCCAUCCUUUAAAGAAAGCGUAAUAGCUCACUGGUCUAGUGAUUUUGCGCGGAAAAUAUAACGGGGCUAAAGUAAGUACCGAAGCUGUAGACUUGCACACAACUUAGAUUAUUUAAGUUUAGAAUAUGAGAAACUAAGUUAUAUGUUUAGUUAUAUUUUUACUGAUUUUUAUAGAGUAAAGAUAGAAAUAAAACUUAAUAAAAUCAGUAAAAAUAUUCUUAGGCUAAAGUUAAGUAGUUUAAGUUGUGUGCAAGUGGUAGGAGAGCGUUCUAUUUGCGUCGAAGGUAUACCGGUAAGGAGUGCUGGAGCGAAUAGAAGUGAGCAUGCAGGCAUGAGUAGCGAUAAUUAAUGUGAGAAUCAUUAACGCCGUAAACCCAAGGUUUCCUACGCGAUGCUCGUCAUCGUAGGGUUAGUCGGGUCCUAAGUCGAGUCCGAAAGGGGUAGACGAUGGCAAAUUGGUUAAUAUUCCAAUACCAACAUUAGUGUGCGAUGGAAGGACGCUUAGGGCUAAGGGGGCUAGCGGAUGGAAGUGCUAGUCUAAGGUUGUAGGAGGUUAUACAGGCAAAUCCGUAUAACAAUACUCCGAGAACUGAAAGGCUUUUUGAAGUCUUCGGAUGGAUAGAAGAACCCCUGAUGCCGUCGAGCCAAGAAAAGUUUCUAAGUUUAGCUAAUGUUGCCCGUACCGUAAACCGACACAGGUGGGUGGGAUGAGUAUUCUAAGGCGCGUGGAAGAACUCUCUUUAAGGAACUCUGCAAAAUAGCACCGUAUCUUCGGUAUAAGGUGUGGUUAGCUUCGUACUAGGAUUUACUCCGAAAGCGAAGAAACUUACAACAAAGAGUCCCUCCCGACUGUUUACCAAAAACACAGCACUCUGCUAACUCGUAAGAGGAUGUAUAGGGUGUGACGCCUGCCCGGUGCUCGAAGGUUAAUUGAUGGGGUUAGCAUUAGCGAAGCUCUUGAUCGAAGCCCGAGUAAACGGCGGCCGUAACUAUAACGGUCCUAAGGUAGCGAAAUUCCUUGUCGGUUAAAUACCGACCUGCAUGAAUGGCGUAACGAGAUGGGAGCUGUCUCAAAGAGGGAUCCAGUGAAAUUGUAGUGGAGGUGAAAAUUCCUCCUACCCGCGGCAAGACGGAAAGACCCCGUGGACCUUUACUACAGCUUGACACUGCUACUUGGAUAAGAAUGUGCAGGAUAGGUGGGAGGCUUUGAGUAUAUGACGCCAGUUGUAUAUGAGCCAUUGUUGAGAUACCACUCUUUCUUAUUUGGGUAGCUAACCAGCUUGAGUUAUCCUCAAGUGGGACAAUGUCUGGUGGGUAGUUUGACUGGGGCGGUCGCCUCCCAAAUAAUAACGGAGGCUUACAAAGGUUGGCUCAGAACGGUUGGAAAUCGUUCGUAGAGUAUAAAGGUAUAAGCCAGCUUAACUGCAAGACAUACAAGUCAAGCAGAGACGAAAGUCGGUCUUAGUGAUCCGGUGGUUCUGUGUGGAAGGGCCAUCGCUCAAAGGAUAAAAGGUACCCCGGGGAUAACAGGCUGAUCUCCCCCAAGAGCUCACAUCGACGGGGAGGUUUGGCACCUCGAUGUCGGCUCAUCG